AGUGAACGCUGGCGGUAGGCCUAACACAUGCAAGUCGAACGGCAGCACAGUAAGAGCUUGCUCUUACGGGUGGCGAGUGGCGGACGGGUGAGGAAUACAUCGGAAUCUACUUUUUCGUGGGGGAUAACGUAGGGAAACUUACGCUAAUACCGCAUACGACCUACGGGUGAAAGCAGGGGAUCUUCGGACCUUGCGCGAUUGAAUGAGCCGAUGUCGGAUUAGCUAGUUGGCGGGGUAAGGGCCCACCAAGGCGACGAUCCGUAGCUGGUCUGAGAGGAUGAUCAGCCGCACUGGAACUGAGACACGGUCCAGACUCCUACGGGAGGCAGCAGUGGGGAAUAUUGGACAAUGGGCGCAAGCCUGAUCCAGCCAUACCGCGUGGGUGAAGAAGGCCUUCGGGUUGUAAAGCCCUUUUGUUGGGAAAGAAAAGCAGCAGGUUAAUACCCCGCUGUUCUGACGGUACCCAAAGAAUAAGCACCGGCUAACUUCGU
rnacentral:rRNA from 1 species